CAAUGGAAUUCAAGUCAUUUACUUUAAGAAACCAGUUCCUGUAUUUUUUUCAAUUAUUACAAUGUAUCUGUACGAUUGCAAAAUAACACUCCCUGGCUUUGUACGUUUUGUUUGUUCGGUGUGUCAUGUGGUAAUAAUUGCAACUUCCUGUUAUGUAUUGCUAUAUAUUUAGACGAGAGUAAAGCACUUAAUACCCAUUGCACAAAAAUCAAGGCAACUUGCACUACAAGUGGUAAGUACAUUUUAAAUUUAUUUUACAACAAGCAAAUAUUGUUGAAAUGUAGUUAUUUCAACCUAGCGACUAGCGAGCGCGUCACAUUUGAUACCAUCUGGUGAGUUUUAGAAGCAGUAAUUUUUACAAAACACAGAAUUUCAACUGGAUUCACUCAAAUCCAUUUGAAGGCAAUUCCAAAACUAAAUUAAUUUGCGUUUUGCUUGCAAACCUGUAGAAAUACUCAAUAUUUGAUCAAUGGCAGCGGAAGCAACCAGCAAUUGAAGGGUUUUCAUUUCAAACAAAAAUUCUUAAUGCGUGAUUAAUUUUGCUCUUAAAUAAUUUGCGGUUUACUUUGCCUGUGUGAAUCUUCCAGGAGUAUACGGUAUGCGCUGUCAUUGACCCAAAAUUGUCACUAAGAUCCAUCUUCUAUUUCUGAAAAGAUAUUUAGCUUGACAUAUUUCAUUCCUAAAUUGAGUUGACUAUUUUUCAGAUUGUAUUCUCCAUCAACACGCUGUUAAUGACAGAUUUUUUUAAAUUAUCAGGUAUUAGAAUCACCGCUAGAUGCACUUUAAUUUGAAUCAACCGACUCAAAUUGGUUGAUUCAAAUUAACAUACAUCUGGCGUAGGGGAUGUCCAAAAGGUAGAUCUUUAGAGAGUUAGAAUUUUAAAGCAUCAUGGAGGCUGUAGUAUUAAAACAUUUGGGGCAACCCCAAUCUAGCGUGAGCAGUUCUGUCGAAUCUUAUGUGUAUUUCCAUAAUUUCACUUAACUGGAAAUUUUACAUGUACAUGUAACAAUUCUGACCAAUAACAACCCGAAUGUCCAGCCCCCGAUCUCAUGGUGCUAGUUGUGAGUGAUAACGUAUAAGUUUUAGAAUUUCUCUAAUUCACAGGUGAUAAUAGCAGUGAGUAGUUUUUAUACAGGGGCCCCGGAACCAUGAAUAUAUCUGGCCCAAUUCACCAUAUUCUCCUGAAAACAGAGUGGGUUUGUUCACAGUGAGUUGACAACUGACUUGUAAAAGUCCUCAGAUGUCCCAUAAUCUCAGGUCAGCAGAGAAAGCCAUGGCUGGGUUAGCAGUCCAAAAACCAUACCAAGGACACCAGAUCUAACCCCUGGACCUUCUCUCUAGACUUAGUAUACUUAGUAUACUCAUACAUUAUUUUGAAAUCACUCACAAUCACAAACUUAGGGAGCCAUAUGUGGAAUUGCGCGGAAUAAACAGGUAAAAUGCAUAAAAUGAAAAUAAACGGUGGAAUCUCUAGAAUGUAAUGUAAUCACUAAGAUGCACGGAACCCAGGACUGUAUUCACCAUACACUGAGUUGUGAGGAGCUAACAACCAACUGACAAUAUUUUGACUAAAAUAGUUUAGUCUCCCAUGAAUAAAAUAUUUCAUUUUACUAUCUCAAGUCUUCACACAAAAACUGCUUUAUACAAAGUUACUUACGUGCUGUCCCAAAUCCCUCUGCACAUUUUAAUAACUGGAGGGUUUUAGUAUCACUGGUUAUUUAAGUGUAAGCUUCCCUGCCACGUCAAGGCAAAACCUCUUAUGUGAGUCCUAAAUAAACAAUGCACCUUGCUGUCUUCAGCAAAAUCUCUAAUGGGACAGAAAGGAGUAUUUUUCUAAACCCCUACUCACUUAUUAACUAUUAAUACGGAACACCGAAGUGGCAGUCGCACUGUGGGUGGCAUAGGAAUUUCAGGUAGUGUGCAAGUAAAUAUUUUCUUUCUUUUUGAUUGUUUGUCUUGGGGCUGAUGUGUGUCAUUGCUGCCGUCUGAGAGUAGUGGGAGUUUGAACAUAUCGCUUAAUUUUGUAUAUUCUUUUGUUUUACAUGUUACAGUGCCACCCCUCACCCAUGCGUUCCCUAUUAAGGGUUAAUAAGUGCGUAUGGGUUUGGAGAAAUAUCCCUCUGUCACAUUAUGUUUACCUUUUGUCUGAAAUAAACAAGAUGAAUUGUUAGUGUAGGACUCACCUGAGAUGUUUGCCUUGACGUGGCAGGUGGGCUCAUACUUAGUGGCCAUUGGAGUGAUGCUAAAAAAAACCUCCACUUAUUUAAAUGUGCAUAGGGUUUCUGGAUAGUGUGCAGGUAACUUUUUUUCUUUGUUUUUUUUUAUUGUAUAUAUUGGAUGUUAUUGUAUAUAUUGGGGCUGAUGUGCAUUAUAGUCAUGGCUGCCGCCCAGGAGUAGUGGGAGUUUGAGCUUAGGGCUGAAUUUUGCAUGUUUCAAAAUAAAACGACUCCUCGUGCUCAAAGUAAUUUGUUGCCAAAUGUGUCCAGUUUUCCAAGUGUGUCACUAAGGCAAUUUACAUUUCAGCAAUAGGAUAAUCUUGUAUUACACAACCUGACCUGAGUAGAUCCUGUAUUACACAAUCUAACAUGAGUAAAUCUUGUAUUACAGAAACUAACCUGCGUAUAUAUCCUGUAUUACACAUCUCAGCCCACUCAGGAACGUUUUAGGGUUUUUUUUGCGCUGUGAGCAUGUAUAGUAUUCUCUUUAGAUCAAAGUAUUUGAUAAUACAGACACUGAUAAGCUAAUGAUGUCUCUCUUCUGUUUAGGCACCAUGAGUAGAAUUUUGGGACUUUGUACAAUUGCCUCUCUCAGCAUUCUUUUACUUACGCUAUGUCCCACUGGUAAGUAUGCAUGCAUGUCAUUGUCUGGAACCCCUAAUUUAGAAAGCACUAUUUGUGUCCCAUUACCUUUAGUCUGAUUAAUAUGACAAAGAUGCUACAAUCAAAAUAAG